GGACGUGGCUCAGUGGUAGAGCAUCACCUUGCCAAGGUGAGGGUCGCGGGUUCGAAUCCCGUCGUCCG
rnacentral:tRNA from 6 species